UACGUAGGGUGCAAGCGUUGUCCGGAAUUAUUGGGCGUAAAGAGCUCGUAGGCGGUCUGUUGCGUCCGCUGUGAAAACUCGGGGCUUAACCCCGAGCCUGCAGUGGAUACGGGCAGACUAGAGGUAGGUAGGGGAGAAUGGAAUUCCCGGUGUAGCGGUGAAAUGCGCAGAUAUCGGGAGGAACACCAAUGGCGAAGGCAGCUCGCUGGGACGUGACUGACGCUGAGACGCGAAAGCGUGGGGAGCAAACAGG
rnacentral:rRNA from 1 species